GUUUCAUACAUGCAUUGGUUCGAUGGUUGCCUCCUCGGUCGCGGGGGGCUGUGGUUGGCCGGCGUGGUGGUUGUUCUGCUACGUCUGCCGUGGUGUCCGCUCGGGGCGUAUGUAUGGAGGAGGCCGUUGUGUAGGGGUGGCCGCUCUGUACGGUCUUCGAGCUCUCCAUGCAUGUGGCCGCUUUGUACAGCCUUCCGGUUCUGGAUGCGCUGCGGAUUUUGUGGCGCGAUCUGGGUCUUGUUCUCUGUCGUCGGACUCUGCUGUUGGUGGUUCUGGUGGGCAGCGGAGGGAGGAGAUUCGGUUGGGAAAGCAGGCCUGUUGAUCCCACUCUCAAUCGACGACGAACAGCAGAGAAGCAAACCGGCGAAGCGAGCAGCACAUUGGGGGGAGGUGGUCACCUGCAAGUCAACCGCGCGACGGGUGAGCAGAGCGGCUCGCACCCGCGCCAGGGGAAAAGGAGGGGGCCGGAACCGUUGGCUGUGCGCCCUGGCCAUCAACGGCGACGAAUGGUGACGGGGUGGAUGUAGAUCACGAGGGAGCGGGAGCAAAUCGGUGAUGGAAAGCAUGAGCACGGAACCGCAAAUCACACGGCCAAGCAAAACACACGAGGAUGGCUAGCUGCUACAAGCCACGGGAUGAGAGCAAUGGGUUUGAGAGAUGCAGCAUACUCAAGGCCGACAAGGGAUUUUCACGAAAGGCGAGGACGAACUAAUUAAGCAAGGAAUUGCAUUGGUAAUGUUUCCCCCUACCCCAAACUUGAUUACUUCAGCAACAGUUCUUUUUGUUUACUUGAUAUAUAUGGUGCAAUUUCCAAAAGGUUUUUUAACCCGCAAUUAUUUUCAUUUAUAGAUGAUGAUUUCUUUUGAAGGGUUCCUAACUGAAUGUUGUACCCUCAACCGUGGCAAGCAAAAUUUUCAUGCAAUCAGCAUCACAAACAUUCAGUGGUAGUUAAUAGUCUAUAUCCUUGGUCACUCUCCAAACUUUACUAUUUCUCUCAAGAUUAAACCUAAUAUGACCAUAGCUAACAAAGAAGCUCUAAGUAGCGAGAAUCCGAGUUUUAAUAUAGCUGCUGCUAAUAUAUGAGAAGAAUGUGAGUACAGAAGAUCAUAAACUGAUCCAGUAAAGUAAUACUAUUAGUUUUAGGAUAUAUAUAUAUAUCUUCUCACGUUCUUCAAGUAGUCAGUUGUUGACUACAUUUGUAAUAUAGUAAGAUUUGUUUCAUUGCAUCGGAAGUCAUGCCAUAAAAUAUAUUCAAACUUCUCUACUGAUUCAAGUCGCUGCCAUGCUGUUAUAUAUUUCUUUUCUUCAUUAUGAUUAUUUGUAUAUGGCUUUCUUAGCAUUGAUAAAUUCACUGAUGUAACACUUCUAUUUUGAUUCAGCAAAAUCUGGUAUUGAUUAUUGUGGUGGCUUUUAGUAAGUAACUCUUCACAAUUUCAAUCCUUCUUAUCAUUGGUUGAGUGCAGGCUAAUGCAAACCCAUUAGCUACAACUCUUAGUAAUGCCAACACCUACGCGGCAUCACACAUGCAUGCACCAUGUAUCGUGAUAAUAAAUGUCUUCUUUCUAACUUCUCUUUUUGUGGCCACAAUCUCACACAUAUAAUACUCUUGCUUUAAAUUGAGUUUUACUGUAAACAAUAAAAACACUUCUUAUGAACGGAACUUAUCAAUGGGGCACGACGUGCCGCCGCGCGGGCAAUGUUAGUUGUAGCCAUCAGCCCAUCACACAAAAUGAUACUGAAAAUCAUUAACCAACAAUUUUAAUUACUGUAUAUUGAGAACUUCCAAAGCCUGCUUCAGCAAGAGUACUCCCACAACACAUUAUCGGCAAUACUCCCGUCGACAAUUUCAAUUACUAAGUGGCAUGUAAUACAAGACAAGAAAGUCUUCAAGAAUGUGAAAAUAUUCAGAUCACACAUUGUAGUGUGUAUGAAGACCACGGCAUACACCUCAUGGUGCAAUAACCAUGUGAUGCAUAUUCAACCACGUAAGUUGAGCAGAAAAUAAAGAAUCAUACAUUUGGAUAUUGUAGUGUGUCAAGGUACGGCCAUCCUCCAUUAUCUUGCCGCCAAAUAUGAGGCACUGUUGGCCAAGGGGGAAUGCCUUCCGUAGCCCAGAUCUUCUCCUUGACAUUAUAGACGGUAUCUGUGCUCCUCACCUCAAGAUUAUAGAAUUUACCUCGCAAAGUCUUCAUGCAGAUGUUCAUCGUCCCUGUUGGGCACCGGGCUGUGGAGGACGAGGAGGAGGGUGCUUUGGGAUGUUGAGGUCCGCCAGGGUCCUGCCUUUGUCGCCGUCAUCGUCAAGCUGUCUGUUGGCGAAGAUGAGGCACUGGGAUGGUCCUUGGGGAAGCCGUGCCACCGAUGAAUCUUGGCCUUGACAUUGUCGACGGUGUCUGAGCUUGUGACCGCGAGGUUCAUGGCCCUGCCCGUUAGCGUCUCGACCACAUGGAUCUGCAUCUUGUCAUGGAGUGGAUGCGGGCGGAGGCCAAGAGUUGAUCCGUCACGGACGCCGUAGUCGGCCAGCGUGCGGCCGUCCUCCAGCUGCUCCCCGUUGAAGGUGAGGCGCUGCUGAUCCUGGAUCUUGGCCUUGACAAUGAGUAAGUCCAAACUGAAGCAAAACAACAAAAAUAGGAUGCAUGCGAUAUUUUUCUUUCAUGGAGCAUCGGAGUGUGAGUUGCAAGCACGCAUGCAUCAGAUUUCUUUUGGGUUAAAACAAACAUUACACGUUUUGCAUGCAUGCUUCCGUUACUGCAUCCGCUUGGUGGAGGAGCUCUCAACCUGUAGAUCCAAUGGCUAUUGUGGACUGAUCUUGUGUAUCCAACGGCUAAAUUAAUUUGGAUGAUGUGGCGCAAGGAUAAGGCAGAGAAUUAUUUGUAGUGGGGGCUAGCUAUUUAGAUAUAGUAGAUAAGAACACCUGGUCUGACUCCGAGCCGGACUCUCUCUCUCUUUCUACUUUUUUCAAAAUCGAGCUAGACUCUCUGAAAUAACCUGUUCCGAUUACAACUUUUUUUAGCACUGUUCCGAUUACAACUCUGCUUUGUAGGCGAAAACGCACUGGAGCAGUUCUCUUUAUUUAUUUUGACUGGGCACUGGAGCUCGUACACGUCGCCCUAAUAAUUGGUGUAAAUUAUACAGUUCAAAAAAAAUUCUUGUAUUUUUUCUUUUGAUAAA